UUUCCGUAGGUGAACCUGCGGAAGGAUCAUUAUUGUAUAAUCGAGGUGCGAGGGCUGUCGCUUACCCGUGAGGUCGUGCACGCACGAGUGCCAUAACUCACAACCUUUUCACCCCUACGUUCGCCACCGCGUGCUUCCCCCUGUUACUUGUUUGUAGAGGACAUUCCCUUUUGACACCAUCGAUUGUUUAAACGCAUAAUGGCUUUUAUGUUUAUCCUAUAACGACGUCAAUAUUACUUUUAACAACGGAUCUCUUCGCUGCCGAACCGAUGAAGAAAC
rnacentral:misc_RNA from 1 species